rnacentral:lncRNA from 1 species
UCAUUAUCAUUUUUCUAUGGAUUUUAUUGGAUUCAGUUACGGACCAUAAGUUGUGAAUCAGGGAUCGAAAACCUUUUCAAUCGAAAACCUGACCCGGGAUCAUUAUCAUUUUUCUAUGAAGUUCAGACAAUCCGAUUGCUUCUCGUAAAGUUGUUGUGCAUUUGAGAGCUACUGGUGAUGCUCCGAUUCUCAAACAAGCAAAAUUCAAGAUUGCUGGAACCGAUAAAUUUUCUAAGGUGAUUGAUUUUCUUCGUCGCCAACUUCACAAGGAGACUCUGUUUGUUUAUGUGAACAGUGCCUUCUCCCCAAGUCCAGACCAACUAGUGAAUGACCUGUACGAUAACUUUGGAAUUGAUGGGAAAUUGGUGGUUAACUAUGCAUGCUCUAUGGCUUGGGGCUAAUUUGGAGAAUGUAGCAAAACUUGUACAGCUGCAAAAAACUUGUUAUACGGGAAUUUCAUUUGGUAAAUAUGAUUAAUCUUUUUAGAUUGUAUCCAAAAUUGGUUUGACCAUUGCAUUUUACUAGCUCUUUAGCUGUGGGUCGCUUUGACUUAGAUGGUUAUUUCUUCCUAAUGGGGUAAAUUUAUCAUUCAGAAGGGUUUUCUGAUACUUUUUCAGGCCUUGUUGUUACGUUUUAUAGUUUUCCUAAGCUCGUGCUGAUACCUCUUAUUAUAUUUCAAUAGCUCAUACUUUUUUGUU